CGGUAAUUCCAGCUCCAAUAGCGUAUACUAAAGUUGUUGCAGUUAAAAAGCUCGUAGUUGGAUUUCUGCGGGGACGGAGCGGCCGGACGCAACUUGCGUCUCGAGCUAGCGCUUUCCCCGCAUCCUGCCGCGAACCGUGCUACCAUUAGCUUGGUGGCGCUGGGGAUCGGCUCGAUUACUUUGAGAAAAAUAGAGUGUUCAAAGCAGGCCACACGCCUUGAAUAAGUUAGCAUGGAAUAAUGACUAAGGACUUCGGUUCUAUUUUGUUGGUGUUCGGGACUGAAGUAAUGAUUGAUAGGGACAGUUGGGGCGGUCUGUAUUCCAAAGCGAGAGGUGAAAUUCUUAGACCUUCGGAAGACAAACAGCUGCGAAAGCGUUCCGCAAGGAUGUUCCCUUUGAUCAAGAACGAAAGUUGGGGGAUCGAAGACGAUCAGAUACCGUCGUAGUCUCAACUAUAAACUAUACCAGCUAGGGAUCGGUCAACGUUUAAUCAUUCGACUUGAUCGGCACCUUAUGAGAAAUCAAAGCAUCUGGGUUCCGGGGGGAGUAUGGUCGCAAGGCUGAAACUUAAAGGAAUUGACGGAAGGGCACCACCAGCCGUGGAGCCUGUGGCUUAAUUUGACUCAACACGGGAAAACUUACCAGGUCCAGACAUAGUAAGGAUUGACAGAUUGAUAGCUCUUUCUUGAUUCUGUGGGUGGUGGUGCAUGGCCGUUCUUAGUUGGUGGAGUGAUUUGUCUGGUUAAUUCCGUUAACGAACGAGACCCCAGCCUGCUAAAUAGCGCGGUUGAGCUUUGCUCGAUGCGAGCUUCUUAGAGGGACUAUGAUGCGCGAUAGCACAUGGAAGUUUGGGGCAAUAACAGGUCUGUGAUGCCCUUAGAUGUUCUGGGCCGCACACGGGCUACACUGGCGCCUGCAACGAGCAUAUCAGCUGGCCCGAGAGGGUCUUGGCUAAUCUUUUGAACCGGCGCCGUGCUUGGGAUUGACCAUUGCAAUUGUUGGUCAUGCAACGAGGAAUGCCUUGUAAACGCGAGUCAUCAGCUCGCAUUGAAUACGUCCCUGCCCUUUGUACACACCGCCCGUCGCUCCUACCGAUGAAUGUUCCGAUGAAAUUUUCGGAGAGCGCCAGAGAACGGGGCUCUGCCUUGCAGAUCUGGAGGCUCAAAGUCACUUAAAUCUGAACAUUUCGAGGAAGGAGAAGUCGUAACAAGGUAGCCG
rnacentral:rRNA from 1 species